GACGAACGCUGGCGGCGUGCCUAAUACAUGCAAGUCGAGCGCAGGAAAUCGACGGAACCCUUCGGGGGGAAGUCGAUGGAAUGAGCGGCGGACGGGUGAGUAACACGUAAAGAACCUGCCCUCAGGUCUGGGAUAACCACGAGAAAUCGGGGCUAAUACCGGAUGGGUCAUCGGACCGCAUGGUCCGAGGAUGAAAGGCGCUUCGGCGUCGCCUGGGGAUGGCUUUGCGGUGCAUUAGCUAGUUGGUGGGGUAAUGGCCCACCAAGGCGACGAGGCAUAGCCGACCUGAGAGGGUGAUCGGCCACACUGGGACUGAGACACGGCCCAGACUCCUACGGGAGGCAGCAGUAGGGAAUCUUCCACAAUGGACGAAAGUCUGAUGGAGCAACGCCGCGUGAACGAUGAAGGCCUUCGGGUCGUAGAGUUCUGUUGUAAGGGAAGAACAAGUGCCGCAGGCAAUGGCGGCACCUUGACGGUACCUUGCGAGAAAGCCACGGCUAACUACGUGCCAGCAGCCGCCGCAG
rnacentral:rRNA from 1 species